rnacentral:misc_RNA from 1 species
GAUGAAGAACGUAGCGAAAUGCGAUAAGUAAUGUGAAUUGCAGAAUUCAGUGAAUCAUCGAAUCUUUGAACGCACAUUGCGCCCGGUAGUAUUCUGCCGGGCAUGCCUGUUCGAGCGUCAUUUCAACCAUCAAGCCCCAGCGCUUGUGUUGGGGGCCUGCGGCUGCCGCAGCCCCCUAAAAGCAGUGGCGGGCUCGCCAUCACACCGAGUGCAGUAGUUCAUUUUCUCUCCGGUCUUGUGAGGCGGGUUCCGGCCGUGAAACACCCCACUACAUUCAAGGUUGACCUCGGAUCAGGUAGGAAUACCCGCUGAACUUAAGCAUAUCAAUAAGCGGAGGA